AUGGCUCAGGAUGAACGCUAGCGACAGGCCUAACACAUGCAAGUCGAGCGGCAGCACCUCGGGUGGCGAGCGGCGCACGGGUGAGUAACGCGUAUGUAACCUGCCCAUGAGUGGGGGAUAGCCCGGUGAAAACCGGAUUAAUACCGCAUAAUGCCAUUAUUAGACAUCUUAGAAUGGUUAAAGAUUCAUUGCUCAUGGAUGGACAUGCGUUGGAUUAGCUGGUUGGCGGGGCAACGGCCCACCAAGGCGACGAUCCAUAGGGGUUCUGAGAGGAAGGUCCCCCACAUUGGUACUGAGACACGGACCAAACUCCUACGGGAGGCAGCAGUGAGGAAUAUUGGUCAAUGGGCGGAAGCCUGAACCAGCCAAGUCGCGUGAAGGAUGAAGGCAUUAUGUGUUGUAAACUUCUUUAGCUGUGGAGAAAUAAGGUGGUCGUGACCACCGAUGCUAGUACACAGAGAAUAAGGAUCGGCUAACUCCGUGCCAGCCGCCGC
rnacentral:rRNA from 1 species